GACGAACGCUGGCGGCGUGCUUAACACAUGCAAGUCGAACGGAAAGGCCCUGCUUUUGUGGGGUGCUCGAGUGGCGAACGGGUGAGUAACACGUGAGUAACCUGCCCUGGACUUUGGGAUAACUUCAGGAAACUGGGGCUAAUACCGGAUAGGAGCUCCUGCUGCAUGGUGGGGGUUGGAAAGUUUCGGCGGUUGGGGAUGGACUCGCGGCUUAUCAGCUUGUUGGUGGGGUAGUGGCUUACCAAGGCUUUGACGGGUAGCCGGCCUGGGAGGGUGACCGGCCACAUUGGGACUGAGAUACGGCCAAGACUCCUACGGGAGGCAGCAGUGGGGAAUAUUGCACAAUGGGCGGAAGCCUGAUGCAGCAACGCCGCGUGCGGGAUGACGGCCUUCGGGUUGUAAACCGCUUUCGCCUGUGACGAAGCGUGAGUGACGGUAAUGGGUAAAGAAGCACCGGCUAACUACGUG
rnacentral:rRNA from 1 species